rnacentral:rRNA from 1 species
AGACGUCUACGAGUUUGAUUCUGGCUCAGAACGAACGCUGGCGGCAUGCCUGACACAUGCAAGUCGAACGAACCCUUCGGGGUGAGUGGCGCACGGGUGCGUAACGCGUGGGAACCUGCCCUUAGGUUCGGAAUAACAGUGAGAAAUCGCUGCUAAUACCGGAUAAUGUCUUCGGACCAAAGAUUUAUCGCCUUUGGAUGGGCCCGCGUUGGAUUAGCUAGUUGGUGGGGUAAAGGCUCACCAAGGCGACGAUCCAUAGCUGGUCUUAGAGGAUGAUCAGCCACACUGGGACUGAGACACGGCCCAGACUCCUACGGGAGGCAGCAGUGGGGAAUAUUGGACAAUGGGCGAAAGCCUGAUCCAGCAAUGCCGCGUGAGUGAUGAAGGCCUUAGGGUUGUAAAGCUCUUUUACCAGGGAUGAUAAUGACAGUACCUGGAGAAUAAGCUCCGGCUAACUCCGUG